UCUUGGUGGUGACUUUAGACAAAUACUUCCAGUCAUUCCAAAAGGUACUAGACAAGAUAUUGUUAAUGCUACCCUUAAUUCUUCAUAUUUGUGGAAUCACUGUCAAGUCUUAAAGCUAACAAAAAAUAUGAGGUUGGAAGGAAAUCAGGUGGAUUCACAUUUGAAUGAUCUAAGAUAAUUUUCUGAUUGGAUUUUAGCAAUAGGUGAUGGUAUAAUUGGAAAUUCUGUUGAUGGUAUCGAUAAAGUUCACAUCCCUGGUGAUCUUAUCAUCAAUAAUUGUGACGAUUCAAUUUGUGCGAUUGUGGAAAGUACAUAUCCGGAUUUUUUAAGUCAUUGCAGUGAUAUAACAUACCUGCAACAAAGAGGAAUUCUUGCUCCCACUCUUGAUAUGGUUGAAUCAAUCAACGAAUACAUGGUUUCGGUAAACAAUAGUCAACCAAAAAUAUUUUUUAGUUCUGAUACAAUUUGCAUGUCAGACGAUGCUUUUACAGGUUUGGAACACGUACAUACACCUGAAUUUCUAAACACUAUUAAGUGUUCUGGAAUUCCAAAUCAUGUUAUCACUUUGAAAGUGGGUGUCCCAGUGAUGUUAUUGAGAAAUAUAGACCCAUCUUCAGGGCUAUGUAAUAGAACAAGAUUAAUCAUCACUAGACUGGGAAAUCGGGUUAUUGAAGCAAAAAUUUUAUCGGGAAAUAUGGCUGGACAAAAGGUCUUCAUUCCGAGAAUGUCAUUAACUCCAUCUGAUGCAAGAAUACCUUUUAAGUUCCAACAAAGACAAUUUCCAAUAGUUGUAUCAUUUGCAAUGACGAUAAACAAAAGUCAAGGACAAUCUUUAUCGCAUGUUGGGUUAUAUUUGAAAAAAUCGGUGUUCACACAUGGCCAGCUUUACGUUGCUCUAUCACGGGUUACAAAAAGAAAGGGAUUAAAGAUUUUGGUUUAUGACGAUGAUGGAGAAAUUUCAAAUGAAGCGAUAAAUGUGGUUUAUAAAGAGGUUUUCCGUAAUUUACUUGGAUAAUGAAAGGAAAUCUGAUACCUUUUAGCCAACUUUUUGUUCUCAUGCAUCUGUCUUUUGGAAAACCAUAUUGCAAAUAAUCUUCAGAAACAAUACUUGCCAACUUCAAUAGUUGCUGCUGUGAAAGUUAUUAAUACUCGAUCAUGUGCCGGAAACAAACUUCCAAAGCAGGCAUGUCAUUUAGCUUCCUCGACUAUGCAUCUCGGUUCAAUUUAAACAAGAGCAAUUGUAAUUGUA